rnacentral:rRNA from 1 species
UACGUAGGGUGCAAGCGUUGUCCGGAAUUAUUGGGCGUAAAGAGCUCGUAGGCGGUCUGUCACGUCGGCUGUAAAAACCCGGGGCUCAACCCCGGGCCUGCAGUCGAUACGGGCAGACUAGAGUGCGGUAGGGGAGACUGGAAUUCCUGGUGUAGCGGUGAAAUGCGCAGAUAUCAGGAGGAACACCGGUGGCGAAGGCGGGUCUCUGGGCCGUAACUGACGCUGAGGAGCGAAAGCAUGGGGAGCGAACAGG